CCUACGGGAGGCAGCAGUGAGGAAUAUUGCUCAAUGGCCGGAAGGCUGAACCAGCCAUGCCGCGUGAAGGUCAGUGCUCUACUGGCGUUAAACUUCUUUUGUGCGGGAGCAAUAAUGGUCAUGUGUGGCCAGACGAGAGUACCGUACGAAUAAGCAUCGGCUAACUCAGUGCCAGCAGCCGCGGUAAUAAGGGGGAUGCAAGCGUUAUCCGGAUUUAUUGGGUUUAAUGGGUGCGUAGGCGGUUUGAUAAGUUAGAGGUGAAAUACCGGUGCUCAACACCGGAACUGCAUCUAAUACUGUUGAACUAGAGAGUAGUAGCGGUAGGCGGAAUGUAUGGUGUAGCGGUGAAAUGCGUAGAGAUCAGACAGAACACCAAUUGCGAAGGCGGCUUACCAAGAUAUAUCUGACGUUGAGGCACGAAAGCGUGGGUAGCAAACAGGAUUAGAUACCCGUGUAGUC
rnacentral:rRNA from 1 species